UGAACGCUAGCUACAGGCUUAACACAUGCAAGUCGAGGGGCAGCAUGGUCUUAGCUUGCUAAGGCCGAUGGCGACCGGCGCACGGGUGAGUAACACGUAUCCAACCUGCCGUCUACUCUUGGACAGCCUUCUGAAAGGAAGAUUAAUACAAGAUGGCAUCAUGAGUCCGCAUGUUCACAUGAUUAAAGGUAUUCCGGUAGACGAUGGGGAUGCGUUCCAUUAGAUAGUAGGCGGGGUAACGGCCCACCUAGUCUUCGAUGGAUAGGGGUUCUGAGAGGAAGGUCCCCCACAUUGGAACUGAGACACGGUCCAAACUCCUACGGGAGGCAGCAGUGAGGAAUAUUGGUCAAUGGGCGAGAGCCUGAACCAGCCAAGUAGCGUGAAGGAUGACUGCCCUAUGGGUUGUAAACUUCUUUUAUAAAGGAAUAAAGUCGGGUAUGGAUACCCGUUUGCAUGUACUUUAUGAAUAAGGAUCGGCUAACUCCGUGCCAGCAGCCGCGGUAAUACGGAGGAUCCGAGCGUUAUCCGGAUUUAUUGGGUUUAAAGGGAGCGUAGAUGGAUGUUUAAGUCAGUUGUGAAAGCUUGCGGCUCAACCGUAAAAUUGCAGUUGAUACUGGAUAUCUUGAGUGCAGUUGAGGCAGGCGGAAUUCGUGGUGUAGCGGUGAAAUGCUUAGAUAUCACGAGGAACUCCGAUUGCGAAGGCAGCCUGCUAAGCUGCAACUGACAUUGAGGCUCGAAAGUGUGGGUAUCAAACAGGAUUAGAUACCCUGGUAGUCCACACGGUAAACGAUGAAUACUCGCUGUUUGCGAUAUACGGCAAGCGGCCAAGCGAAAGCGUUAAGUAUUCCACCUGGGGAGUACGCCGGCAACGGUGAAACUCAAAGGAAUUGACGGGGGCCCGCACAAGCGGAGGAACAUGUGGUUUAAUUCGAUGAUACGCGAGGAACCUUACCCGGGCUUAAAUUGCAGAUGAAUUACGGUGAAAGCCGUAAGCCGCAAGGCAUCUGUGAAGGUGCUGCAUGGUUGUCGUCAGCUCGUGCCGUGAGGUGUCGGCUUAAGUGCCAUAACGAGCGCAACCCUUGUUGUCAGUUACUAACAGGUUCCGCUGAGGACUCUGACAAGACUGCCAUCGUAAGAUGUGAGGAAGGUGGGGAUGACGUCAAAUCAGCACGGCCCUUACGUCCGGGGCUACACACGUGUUACAAUGGGGGGUACAGAGGGCCGCUACCACGCGAGUGGAUGCCAAUCCCAAAAACCUCUCUCAGUUCGGACUGGAGUCUGCAACCCGACUCCACGAAGCUGGAUUCGCUAGUAAUCGCGCAUCAGCCACGGCGCGGUGAAUACGUUCCCGGGCCUUGUACACACCGCCCGUCAAGCCAUGGGAGCCGGGGGUACCUGAAGUGCGUAACCGCGAGGAGCGCCCUAGGGUAAAACUGGUGACUGGGGCUAAGUC
rnacentral:rRNA from 1 species